GACAGAGGGGGCAAGCGUUGCUCGGAAUUACUGGGCGUAAAGGGCUCGUAGGCGGCCAACUAAGUCAGACGUGAAAUCCCUCGGCUUAACCGGGGAACUGCAUCUGAUACUGGAUGGCUUGAGUUCGGGAGAGGGAUGUGGAAUUCCAGGUGUAGCGGUGAAAUGCGUAGAUAUCUGGAGGAACACCGGUGGCGAAGGCGGCAUCCUGGACCGACACUGACGCUGAGGAGCGAAAGCCAGGGGAGCAAACGGG
rnacentral:rRNA from 1 species